GGUGUAUAAAUUACCACAGGAUAGAUUUUAUGCCACUUAUUUUGGGGGCGAUGAGAAACUUGGCCUUCCUGCCGAUUCUGAAGCAAGGGAUAAUUGGCUCAAGUUUCUCCCACCUGCCCGUGUUCAUACCUUUUUCGAAAUGCUUGGUAAUUGGUCGUUUGGAGACUAUUUUAAGAAUGAGGCAAUUCAAUGGGCUUGGGAGCUUCUAACUAAGGCGAGUUUCCCGCACUUCUACUGCACACAUGUAUACGAACAUGCAUACAAAACUGAUUCAUUUUUUUUUUAUUUUUUUUAUUUUCAACUGUAUCAUUUCUUUCAGGUGUAUAAAUUACCACAGGAUAGAAUUUAUGCCACUUAUUUUGGGGGCGAUGAGAAACUUGGCCUUCCUGCCGAUUCUGAAGCAAGGGAUAAUUGGCUCAAGUUUCUCCCACCUGCCCGUGUUUUGCCUUUUGGUUGUAAAGUAAGUUCAUUUUCUGCAUUUGAACUGGAUUUGGUGAUUGGGUCCAGUUUCUGUGGCCCUUACAUUUAACAGUUACUUUCCUUUUAAUGAGACAAUAAUUAUUACUGGAAAGACAUGUUUUUAUCAAGAAAUCUUUGGAAGUUUUUAUUUUAUUUUAAGUCCUUGCACGACUUCGAAU
rnacentral:lncRNA from 1 species